rnacentral:rRNA from 1 species
UAGUCCACGCCGUAAACGAUGAAUGCUAGGUGUUGGAGGGUUUCCGCCCUUCAGUGCCGCAGCUAACGCACUAAGCAUUCCGCCUGGGGAGUACGACCGCAAGGUUGAAACUCAAAGGAAUUGACGGGGGCCCGCACAAGCGGUGGAGCAUGUGGUUUAAUUCGAAGCUACGCGAAGAACCUUACCAGGUCUUGACAUCUUUUGACCACCUAAGAGAUUAGGCUUUCCCUUCGGGGACAAAAUGAC